CAUUACAAAAGUGGUGGGUGACGCGCUGAUAGCCUGCCUACCGUUGACUACAGCCUAUGCAUCCGAAUGGCGAAUGGGAGACGCGCUUUACGAGUUCCUCCUUUUUACAAUCGUGGCUAGUAAAGUUAAUAAUUCUAAAUGCAAUCGCGUGUUAUUUGUUUCACAAUGACUGGGCUUACAAAAGCAGGUUUCACUCCAGUAGCCUACAGGCUUUUUGAGGCGCUACUCUCCCGCUGUCUGACAGGUGGUAAACUAUUCCGGUCCUCAAACUAGGCUUUGUAUUCUGUGUUUGUGUGAUAAAUAAAAUGCAUGAUGACUAAUGAAAAUACAUGAGCGCCAAUUUAUUCCACAAAAUUAUGCAAAUGUGUUAUAGACCGAUAAGCAUGACAGGUCAAAUGUAUUUGAUGGUUAACCGAUUAACGGUUAACCAUUAACAUCCAUACUUCAAAAUGUACAACUUCAAAUUAAACCAAAUCGUUUGCACUCAUGACUACUGGUUUACAUUUUAUUUUUCAGCCAACUUCCAAGCAAAUUUUAAUUUGUUACAAAUCAGCUUGCUAGCCAACUAGUAGUAUGGCUAGUAGCUAACAUUAGCCAGCUGGAGCUAGCUAGGUAACACUGGUUCUCCAUAUGACGUUGAGAAAUAGUGCAUUGUGGGAAGUUCCGAAGAGAUCCGAAAAUAAGUUAAUAUUUAAAAACGCUAAAACAGAACUGCUUGUAGUUAUAGGUAACCAGAUCGUGACAACAACUAAGUUAUUAAGUCUUUGACCACACUGUGUUGGUACUUUGUGGGAGGCGGUGAAAAAGUUCAGCAUUUCCCAACUUUAUGGAAAUCACCAGCUGUGACCGCUGAGGGAUGACCAAUCAUAUCAAGUGGUUCCCAUGACGAAUUUGACGCUAUGGGACCCAUGAUGGUGACUUUCUUCAGCAAAGAUGGCUGACAAAAAUACUAGGAGGGAACAAAAUGGACUCCUGGGGAAACCAGCAAACAGUGGAUGUAAAGAAUCUAGCUAGAUAAAGCAUUUACUGCAAAUUGAAUGUCUAAUUUUGUAAGCUUGCCUUGAUGAUACUUCCCAUGCAAUGCAGCUGAAGUAACGUAGCUAGCUAACUAUUUUCUUGCUUAUUGUGUAGUGGAGUAUAAAAAUACCUAUGUGCCUAUGGAUGUGUAGCUAGCUAUGUAGCCGAUCUGUGUAUGGACCCUAAAACGUUUGGUAUAAAUAUUAGUUCAGAACCUAGCUAUGAACCUCAACUCUCAUAGCCUGUUUUAUCAACUUCAAACAGUCUGAAUGGCAUUAAUGAAGCCUAUGGAUUGAGUAGAAUAUAAUAUAACUUUAUUGUGCCAAGGAUGCAAGUCCUAUAUGCAUGUAGUUAUUACCAAGCAUGAGAUCCCCACAUUGUAGCCUGUACAUUGAAUAUAUUCACUGAUCAUAUACUCUACCUUGGCAAAUAAAGGUGCGUUUCAGGUA